UACCCGCAGCUCAAGUGGUGGUCAUUAUUAUUGGGACUAAAGCGUCCGUAGCUGGUUUGUUAAAUGCCUGGGUAAAUCGAUGCGCUUAACGUAUCGAAUUCCGGGUAGACUGGCAAACUCGAGACCGGGAGAGGUGUAGGCUACUCGAGGGGUAGGGGUAAAAUCCUGUAAUCCUUCGGGGAGGACCAGUGGCGAAGGCGCUACACUAGAACGGCUCUGACAGUGAGGGACGAAGCCCUGGGGCGCAAACCGG
rnacentral:rRNA from 1 species